UCCCUUGGGAAAAUNACCGGCCGGCAANGGCCUGGAAAACUUAAAAGGAAAUUGGGCGGGGGGAGGCNCUNCAACCGGGUGGAGCUUGCGGUUUAAUUGGAUUUCAACCGCCGGGAAAGCUUUNCCCGGGGGAGACAGCGGGAUGAAGGUCGGGCUGAAGACCCUANCCAGACUAGCUGAGAGGUGGUGCAUGGNCGCCGUCAGUUCGUACUGUGAAGCAUCCUGUUAAGUCAGGCAACGAGCGAGACCCGCGCCCUCAGUUGCCAGCGGAUCGCUUUUGCGAUGCCGGGCACACUGGGGGGACUGCCGGCGCUAAGCCGGAGGAAGGUGCGGGCAACGGCAGGUCCGUAUGCCCCGAAUCCCCCGGGCUACACGCGGGCUACCNUGGCCGGGACAAUGGGUACCGACCCCGAAAGGGAUAGGUAAUCUCCUAAACCCGGUCUAACCUGGGAUCGAGGGCUGCAACUCGCCCUCGUGAACCUGGAAUCCCGUAGUAAUNNNGCCUCAAAAUGGC
rnacentral:rRNA from 1 species